UUAUGUGCCGUAAAGUGUGCGACUGUCGUGCCUAUAAAUGUUGAACAGAACGUUAGCAGGGUCCCAUUUUGAUAAAGUCAGGCGGAGUGGUUGAUGCAAAUUCUGAAGCGAAAUACGAUGCCUUGGUGGCACCAGAGACCACAUAUCCAGAGCGCAGGAAGAAGGCCCAAGUUGGGGAGAUAUCAGCUGACCAAAUGGUUUCCUGAAUGAAGUUCACAUGGCUAUGUUUGAACCUCGUGAGGAAAAGGAUCAUUCAGCGAUGGUUGAGCAUUUCCUGUUUCUGGGUCUCGUGAAGAAUCCUUACAGGUGUUUGGACGAUGAAACUGACACACUAGCCAAUCGUUUUAUAGGCUUCAUGUCUAUAUAUGACAUGGUGGCCAGUCUUCACUAAUUGCUCAUUCCAUCAGUAGGGGCAGGUCGUGAAGGUUAAAUCGGCAGAGCAAUGGCAGUUCAUUUGGAGUGUUUUAAGAGGAGCGAGUCAGGAAACGUUUUCCUCCACCAGCAUCGCUUAGUGACCUGGCCAAUUGUUCUGCAAGAGGAACAUCUUCAAAUCUCAGUCCUCUGUGCAGGGCCUGUAUCUGUCAAUCGCAAGAAGAGCUGAUGCUUUGUUGGAUGCAAAAGGAGACUACACUAUACUAAUACCUUAUUAUGGUGUAACACCAAGUGUUUCAGUUUCAUUGUCCAGCCCAUAAGCCUGGCAGGAUACCUGACACAUCCAGUUGGCAGGUUUGCUCUGUGCACAAAGGCUGAAGAAUGGUGAGUGGUCCGGCCGCAGUUCAGGGAUCACUUCAAAGAGGGAUCGCCAGGCUGUUCUGCUGGCAAUGUCUUACGCGGUGAUCCAACAUUUACUGCCCACAAGGACCUGAUAUAGAUUCUGGAAGGCCAUGGAGAGGUCAGCCGGCAACCACAACUCUUCCUUCUGGCUGGAGAUGUGCCAAGCUUACGGAACCGCGGAGUCGCUAAAAUCUUUGCCAUGCUGCACUUUGGUCAGGUUGUCUGCUGCCCCUGAGUCCAUAUUUUUUAUAAAUCUGCAUAAAAAAUUUUAGUAGGUUGUGCUUGGUAGCAUGGUGACCCAGUGUGGUGGAGAACUUUCUAUGCGCCUUUUUAAUCGGCAAUUGUCUGCUUUAAUAAUACAUGUAAUAUUUGUUAAUUCGAAGUGAAAUAAAGUCCCCUUUUCCAUUCA